rnacentral:lncRNA from 1 species
AACAAAGACAGCCCCUGCAGAGGGCCUGUAGGGAGCAAAGAGAACAGCCUCAGAAAAGACUUGAGGAAGAAAAUGAUGAAGUGGACUUUCCUGCAGUCUUAAGAAGAAGGCCUCAGUUUAAAGAAGAAUCUCAUGUCUGUAUUCUUUCUGGAUGCCUUACUUUCAAAACAGAAGGAUGAACAUCACUGCCUCUCAAAACUUUCUCAGAGUUAGAAGAAUUCUCAUCUGCUAAAAGCAGUACAGUCUGAAAUUAAAGAGACAUAAGACAAUGCCACCAGGUAUCCAGAAGUUGCUAAGAGUGAAAUCUGGGUCUGGCCAGUCUGCGAUAUAAAUGACAACUUGGUUACUGGGCCUGUUUAACACACACUGAUGUCUUCACUUUGAAUAAUGAAGUUCUAAAUGUCUAUUCUUUGCAUUUACAGAGAUGAUGGAAUAAAGCUUUGGUUUGG